rnacentral:rRNA from 1 species
UCAACCUUAACCAGGACAAUGGCUAGAGAUUGGGAAGACAACCAGUGGCAGAGGGCGUUUUUUGGGAAUGUAACUAACCUUGAGGUUCGAAAGCCUGGGGAGCAAACAGGAUUAGAUACCCUGGUAGUCCACGCCCUUAAACGAUGAUUACUAGGUGUAGGGGUUGUCAUGACCUCUGUGCCCCCGUUAACGCAUUAAUUAUUCCGCCUGGGGAGUACGUUCGCAAGAUUAAACUUCAAAGGAAUUGACGGGGGCCCGCACAAGCAGCGGAGCAUGUGGUUUAAUUCGAAGCAACGCGAAGAACCUUACCUAGACUGNACAUCUCCUGCAUUACUCUUAAUCGAGGAAGUCCCUUCGGGGACAGGAUGACAGGUGGUGCAUGGUUGUCGUCAGCUCGUGUCGUGAGAUGUUGGGUUAAGUCCCGCAACGAGCGCAACCCUUAUUGUUAGUUGCCAUCAUUAAGUUGGGCACUCUAGCGAGACUGCCCGGGUUAACCGGGAGGAAGGUGGGGAUGACGUCAAAUCAUCAUGCCCCUUAUGUCUAGGGCUACACACGUGCUACAAUGGUCGGUACAAUAAGACGCAAGCCCGCGAGGGGGAGCAAAACUGGAAAACCGAUCUCAGUUCGGAUUGUAGGCUGAAACUCGCCUACAUGAAGCUGGAGUUGCUAGUAAUCGCGAAUCAGCAUGUCGCGGUGAAUACGUUCCCGGGCCUUGUACACACCGCCCGUCACACCAUGAGAGUUGGCAAUACCCCAAGUACGUGAUAUAACCCGCAAGGGAGGAAGCGUCAUAAGGUCAGGGUCAGCGAUUGGGGUGAAGUCGUUACAAGUUAAAUCGAAUUCCCGCGGCC